GGGCAGACACUUAACCUGUGUCUAAAGCACUGCUGGCCGCCGAUUCUACGCCGCCCGGUCGCCAGGGAGAGUGAAUACAGCUAGGGACGUGAAAGGCAGGUCUGGGCUGGGCAUUGAGGAGGGUAUUAAGCUAGGAAGUAUGCCUUACCUUUAUCUAAAUCGGGCGGGUCGUCCUCCCCUCAUUGGCCUUGUGCAGCUCGGAUUCCUCUCUCACCCGCACCCAGGGGUCUUCCCAGAGCAUUGCGUCGUCUCCAGCCCAGGGAGCCGCCUUCUUUCCUAAACUGCUAUAGACACUGUCCUGAUGUCUAAGACAAUGUACUUUGUGCCGCAGGCCUCUGCCUUCCCUAGCCAGAGCGCGAGCUCAGCCGCUUUUGAGAGAAAUCUGCCACCUGGCCUACCUGUGCACAACUUCAGAGCUUUGCAGGGGGUGACAAGGGCUGUGGCUUCAGGGAAAUGUCACGCGCACUGGCACCUUUUUCGCGAAUGUGAAAAUUGAGAAAUCAAGAAGGUUAAUUAUAGGGUUGCCCAGGAUCUGCCAAGAGCAAAGAAGAAAACCCCAUUUCCCAGGCAUGUGUCUUGUGAGCCAUUUUUUAUCAACCCACUUAAGUGGACAAGCUCCAAAACACAACAUGAAGCUGAUGAUAAUUUAGGCAAUUUACGUUUGAAAUCAUCGGCCUCAUCUCAAGGCAGUGUCUUAGAGACACAGGUGGGACCUGAUCCCUCAGGAACAGAUAGCGUUCCAGCUUUGUGGGAUUGACUUUUGAGAUAUGGAGCACUUCGGGGUCAAUUGAAACCCGUCAGGUUUCACAUCUCUGCUUUGGAUAGAAAGCCCAUCACCCACAGCUGUCAGAGAUGUUCCUUGACUCACUGGGGCUCAUCUGUUGAAUUUUUCUAUCUAGAUAAUGGAAACAUCUAGGAGCACUUCUGCUUCCAUGUAAACUCUUAAUAAUUGAUGUCCCUAAAAUUCUGUGUUCUCAGGGACAGUUCCUUUGGUUCCCAGAUGGUACCAGCUUUCAUGUUGUUACAUCUAAUAUGUAAAAACCUGGAUGUUAACCUCCAAGACAUUGUUCACGUCACACAUUCCAGUAUUUUUCAUUUGUGAUUUCUGAAUGUAGGACAAUAUCAAAGAACUGAAAACCUGGUCAUAAAAAUUGGACCCUAUUACUGCACUUAGUGAAUAAUUUACCCCUUAGGGUUAAUUACACCUGAGUUCAUCAGCACCUGUGUAAAGAAAGAAAAAAAAAUUGUGGCAUCUGCCAGGCGCAGUGGCUCAAGCCUGUAAUCCCAGCACUUUGGGAGGCCGAGGCAGGUAGAUUACCUGAGGUCAGGAGUUCAAGACCAGCCUAGUCAACAUGGCGAAACCCCAUCUCUACUAAAAAUACAAAAA
rnacentral:lncRNA from 1 species